rnacentral:lncRNA from 1 species
UAUUUUGUUUUAUCUGUCUGAUCCCUCUCAAGCUUGCAUUUUCGACAUCUCACACAAUCGAUUUCUCUUAGGAUUUUUUCUUUAGCCUUUGAAGAAGUCUAUCUUAGAUUCACCUCUCCAACCAUUUGUAUAGUCUCUAUUAACAAUGGGGAUUUCUACUACUUUUCCAUCCGAUGCUACGUGUGCUAUCACUGCAUGCAUCACUCCACCAAAUAGACCGUCAUAUCAUUUCACCAAAAUCAACCAUCCAAUCGAUGUAGCUGCUAGCACUUUCAUUUUAAGAGCCAUCAAAUGCCCUGGAUCUAAACUGACUUGAUUUGGUUAAAGAUGUUGUUCUUGCCGGUGCUUCUCAUCCUUAACAACACAAAAGUUCUGGGCAAAAAUGCUGCAAAAACUAUAAUAAAUAUGGUCAUUAUUUUGCAAAUUGCCCUAUCAUUGAGUGACAAUAUUACCAUAAGCUUGGCAAUAUCCUUCCAAAUUGUCCCACC